UCAAAUCUUCCCUGUACCUAGACUAAAAGGGGGCAGAUUUGGUGACCCCUUGAUUCAUCUCCAGAUCUUAAAAAAAAAAAGUGAGCGCCAUUAAUCCCCUGGGGAGCUUCUCCUGGAUUGCUCAUUCACACAGAGAACACGAAAGGGGAAAAGGAACAAGUCUGUGAUCCCAAUUGUAGAUUUCACCCGGGUCUUCUUCUUCAAGCUUUCUUCCUAAAAAUCUCUUUCAAUUUUGUGAGCCAUGAAAGCAUAGCCAUAGGAUUGACCCACGGAAGUUGAUGAACUUGCUGAAUCUGCUUGUUUCUGGAUUUGCUGGAUUUCACCUUCGAUUUUUUAUCCUAGUUUGUUGCUUUCAGUUAAUUUUCGCCCGUAUCUAGGUUUGUUAUGAGACUUCAAAUGUUGAACUUGUUGUAUGAAAGGUAAAAAAUGGAAUUCUGUUCUCCUUGAUGUCAAUUAUUGCUGUUGUGAGUCUCGCUUGGUUGUGACUGAUUUUCUUUACUGUUUGUUUUGGUGAAAGCAGCGCUUAAAAGGAAUUAAGCUAAAAUACAUCUUUGGUCCAGUGCAUUUGUACGUAUAAUUUCAUCUAAAUUCAAAUCAAGUGUUAAAUUCAA
rnacentral:lncRNA from 1 species